ensembl:snRNA predicted gene, 24478
AAGCUUACCAGGCAGGGGAGACACUGCAACCAUGGAUGUGGUUCUCCUGCCUCCUGAGUGUGGCAUCUCUGAGUGCUCUGACUCCUGGGAUUUCCCUACAUUUGGAGACUUGACCUCAUCAUCUGUGGUAAUGGGACUGAUUUCAUAAUUUCUCUUAU